CGAGAAAGCCCGCAAGGGUGAGUAAAGCGGCGCACGGGUGCGUAACACGUGGGUAAUCUGCCCUAGAGUCCGGAAUAACUCGCCGAAAGGCGUGCUAAUGCCGGAUGAGACCACGGGAGCCUCGGCUCCUGAGGGAAAAGGUGGCCUCUGUAAACAAGCUAUCGCUCUAGGAUGAGCCCGCGGCCCAUCAGCUCGUUGGCGGGGUAAUGGCCCACCAAGGCUACGACGGGUAGCUGGUCUGAGAGGACGAUCAGCCACACUGGAACUGAGACACGGUCCAGACUCCUACGGGAGGCAGCAGUGGGGAAUCUUGCGCAAUGGGCGAAAGCCUGACGCAGCAACGCCGCGUGUGUGAUGAAGGUCUUCGGAUCGUAAAGCACUGUCGCGAGGGACG
rnacentral:rRNA from 1 species